GUUAAAUUAAAUGACCAAGAUGCCAUUGAGAGACAAGGUCUAAAGGUUCUGGAUCUUGUGAAUACGGGUAUACAAUGUAGCCUCCGGCAACUGCUUGAAUAUGGAUACUUUCAUGCUGAUCCUCAUCCUGGUAAUCUCUUGGCAACACCUGAGGGAAAGCUUGCUUUUCUUGAUUUUGGAAUGAUGAGUGAAACGCCAGAAGCAGCAAGAUCUGCAAUAAUUGGUCAUGUUGUUCACAUGGUUAAUAGGGAUUAUGAAGCCAUGGCUCGUGACUACUAUGUUCUAGAUUUCUUGUCUUGUGAUGUAGAUGUGUCUCCAAUUGUACCAGCACUACAGAACUUCUUUGAUGAUGCACUCAAUUACACUGUGAGUGAACUAAACUUCAAAACUCUAGUGGAUGGUCUGGGUGCUGUUUUUUAUCAAUAUCCAUUUAAUGUUCCAGCAUAUUACGCAUUAAUAUUGCGAUCACUUACGGUACUUGAAGGUCUAGCCCUUAAUGCUGAUCCUAAUUUCAAGGUCCUGGCUGCUUCGUAUCCCUAUUUUGCUAAAAGGCUCCUGACGGAUCCAAAUCCAUAUCUAAGAGAUGCUCUUAUUGAGUUGCUUUUCAAGGAUGGAAAGUUUAGAUGGAAUAGACUUGAAAACUUACUUGUUGAAGGAAGAAAAGAUAGAGAUUUCUCUGCAAAAGAUGCUCUACAACCUGUUUUGAAGCUAUUAUUGGCUCCAGAUGGUGAAGAGCUUCGAGUUUUAGUUGUUAAGGAGUCAGUUCGAGUCACUGAAGCUGUUGUUCUAGGCGGCAUUGUUGAUACAUACAAUUCUAUCCCUGACUUUAUGAGAACUCUAAUCGUUAAUGGCAAUGUAAAUGGACUGACAAUGAUGAACGAUACAGAAAUACAAAGCAUGAUAGAGCUUCGGGACAAAAUCCUUAGGAUAUGGGGCCUGUUGCGAUCUUCUGAAGAUUUUGACCCAGCACUUUUGCAACCUAUAUUACAGGUCCUUCAACAGCCUGAGGGACGAAGCCUAGGAGGUCGUGUUAUUGGUGGGAUCACUCAACGUCUUUCUGCCCGGUUAUUACAGCAAGUUCUCCGAACUCCAGUAACAAUUUCUUCUUCAACUUCAUAACCAUUGCUGAUAAUUUUUUAGUGUGUCAUAUGUACACCUUUGUAUGCUUAAAAGAAGAAAAGGGGGGAAAAAAAAGAGGGGAAAAAUUUGGUAGUUGUAAUACUCCUUACCAUUCUUUGCCUCAUCUGUUGUGAUAGAGAAAAUAGAAACAGAUGUUUGAAAUAUGUACAAGGGAGGAAAUGUGGUGGCAGUUACCAUCGUUAAAUUCAAGCAAAUACAAUGCUUUUCCGCAUUCAUUCCC
rnacentral:misc_RNA from 1 species